rnacentral:rRNA from 1 species
UCAUAUGCUUGUCUCAAAGAUUAAGCCAUGCAUGUCUAAGUAUGAACGCUUCUCACUGUGAAACUGCGAAUGGCUCAUUAAAUCAGUUAUAGUUUAUUUGACGGUUUCUCCCACUUGGAUACCCGUGGUAAUUCUAGAGCUAAUACAUGCCUCAAGUCCCGACUUCCGGAAGGGACGUAUUUAUUAGAUACAAAACCGAUGCGGCCUCCGGGCCGGUCCCUCGGCGACUCAUGAUAACUGCUCGAAUCGCAUGGCCCUGCGCCGGCGAUGGUUCAUUCAAGUUUCUGCCCUAUCAACUUUCGAUGGUAGGGUCUUGGCCUACCAUGGUUGCAACGGGUGACGGAGAAUUAGGGUUCGAUUCCGGAGAGGGAGCCUGAGAAACGGCUACCACAUCCAAGGAAGGCAGCAGGCGCGCAAAUUACCCAAUCCCGACUCGGGGAGGUAGUGACAAUAAAUACUGAUACCGGGCUCUUCGAGUCCGGCAAUCGGAAUGAGACCCCCUUAAAUCCUCUAUCGAUGAACAAUUGGAGGGCAAGUCUGGUGCCAGCAGCCGCGGUAAUUCCAGCUCCAAUAGCGUAUAUUAAAGUUGUUGCAGUUAAAAAGCUCGUAGUUGGAUUUCGGGACGGCGCUCGCGGUCCGCCGCGAGGCAGGUACUGCGACGCCGUCCUUCUUCCCGGCGGCCCCGUCUGCUCUUGAUUGCAGUGGACCGGGGACCUCGGGACGUUUACUGUGAAAAAAUUAGAGUGUUCAAAGCAGGCCGCCGCUUGAAUACAUUAGCAUGGAAUAAUGGAAGAGGACUUGGGUCCUAUUUUGUUGGUUUCCGGGACCGAAGUAAUGAUCAAUAGGGACAGUCGGGGGCAUUCGUAUUUAAUUGUCAGAGGUGAAAUUCUCGGAUUUAUGAAAGACGAACAAGUGCGAAAGCAUUUGCCAAGGAUGUUUUCAUUAAUCAAGAACGAAAGUUAGGGGUUCGAAGACGAUCAGAUACCGUCCUAGUCCUAACCAUAAACUAUGCCGACUAGGGAUCGGCGGGGCUCACUUUCGUCUCCGUCGGCACCUUGCGAGAAAUCAAAGUUUCUGGGUUCCGGGGGGAGUAUGGUCGCAAGGCUGAAACUUAAAGGAAUUGACGGAAGGGCACCACCAGGAGUGGAGCCUGCGGCUUAAUUUGACUCAACACGGG